rnacentral:rRNA from 1 species
GACGGGGGGUCCUAGCGUUGUUCGGAAUCAUUGGGCGUAAAGCGUGUGCAGGUGGCUUUGUAAGUUGGAUGUGAAAGCCUUGGGCUUAACCCAAGAAGUGCAUUCAAAACUACAAAGCUUGAGUAAGGAAGAGGGUCGUGGAAUUCCUGGUGUAGUGGUGAAAUACGUAGAUAUCAGGAGGAACACCGGUGGCGAAGGCGGCGACCUGGUCCUAUACUGACACUCAAACACGAAAGCGUGGGGAUCAAACAGG